UGAAUGUCGAAGACGGGAAGCAGUAAGCAUGUAAGGAGAUCCAGAGAAUUGGCGGCCGGUGCGAGCCAAUAUCCUCGAACAUGCCGAAUAUCAUCCCUGAGAUGCCGUACUGAACACCGCGGACUGACGCGGACAGUAAGCUCGGCCGGCCGUCCUCCGUUACAGGGAACGCGAACGGACUAUCCGCGCUGAGGCGCGAAAUCAGCCGUUCGUUGCGAGUUGCCGGUCAUUGUCUAUGGAUAAUCAGGUCGGAACAAGGGUGGUAACGCGAGUAGACCUCGUCCCUUUU
rnacentral:ncRNA from 1 species